GGGUGCUUUAUUCUGAUUCACACGAAGGCUCAGUAUGAGCCAGUGGUGGCCCUGGGGAAAACCCAGCUCAGGCCUUACUGGAGGAGCAAGAAGCAGGGCUGCUGAUGGGCAGGAAAGGGCUCUGGAGAGUGGGGCUAGUGUCUUCUUGCAUGGUGCCCACUGGGCCUUCCUGAGUCAAGAAGAAGCCUCGGCUUGCUCCCCAACUGUAUGGUUCAAACCCUAUCCCUUCCCCAGGGACAGUGAUCCCCCCACAGGCCUCGCUGGUCUUUCACGUCCUCCUGAUUGACGUGCACAACCCGAAGGACACUGUCCAGCUAGAGACGCUGGAGCUUCCCCCGGGCUGUGUCCGCAGAGCCGGGGCCGGGGACUUCAUGCGCUACCACUACAAUGGUUCCUUGAUGGACGGCACCCUCUUCGAUUCCAGCUACUCCCGCAACCACACCUACAAUACCUAUAUCGGGCAGGGUUACAU
rnacentral:sRNA from 1 species